rnacentral:rRNA from 1 species
CACGUAGGGUGCGAGCGUUGUCCGGAAUUAUUGGGCGUAAAGAGCGCGUAGGCGGUCCGAUAAGUCGGCUGUGAAAGUCAGGGGCUCAACCCUUGAAAGCCGGCCGAUACUGUCGGACUAGAGUCCGGAAGAGGCAAGUGGAAUUCCCGGUGUAGCGGUGAAAUGCGCAGAUAUCGGGAGGAACGCCAAUGGCGAAGGCAGCUUGCUGGGACGGUACUGACGCUGAGGCGCGAAAGCGUGGGGAGCAAACAGG